UCUUGGGUCUUCUAUGAAGGCCAUGACCUUAGGUUUUUUUGUAAUUAACUUCACGUUGUUCACUCGUGCAGAACUGCUCUAGUGUCUCCAACACCCUUCUGAGACCUAUAGGGGUCCUCGAGAGGAUUGUAGCAUCACCAGUGUAAACAUGUCCUGUCUUCCUUGUCUGAGGGGGUCUAUGAUGUUUUCCCGACUUGGAGGUAGCAGCGCAGUCUAUAACUAGCAAGUUGGGAACUGGAUGUUUUAACAGGAUGCGGAGAUUUGAAGGAGGGCAUCAAGAAUUUAGACUGAGCAUGGGCUUCAGUCCUCCAGCCAGGAGAGGUAGAAGACGCAGCUGCCCCUCUCGCUGAUAUCGAUGGAGUCCUGGGGGGGCGAAGGGCGUCAUCAUACAAGGCUGCACACAAACGGAGCUCUCUGUCCCUCUGUGUUUGUUUGGAAAAUGACAUGCAUAUAUUGCAUGACGAUGUAUUAUGAUCCUCCCCAAGGCAAAUUAAACAUAGAUUGUGCCCAUCCAGAGGGGGCAAAUUCUCCUUACAUUUCUCACAGCGUUUGAAGGUUUUCUUGUCCGGUUUUUUGUCUUUCUUUUUAGGAGAAUCCAUAGCAGUAGUAAAGCCAGU